GGAGAAUUAAGUGAAAUACAAGCAUUCAGCAUAUAGUUAUGGUAGGCAAAAUAAGGGCCCCCUACAAAGUUAUGCCUGCCCAGAAAUGGUGUGUAUGUUUCAUCACGUGGCAAGAACAAUGACGGUUGCAGAUGGAAUUAAAGUUGCUCAUCAGCUGGCCUUAACAUAAUGAGAUUAUCCUGGAUUAUCUAGUGGACCAAAUGUAAUCCCGACAUUCCUUCACUGAGCAAGGCAGA